rnacentral:rRNA from 1 species
CAGUAGCCACGGUAAUGCGUAGGUGGCAAGCGUUGUCCGGAAUUAUUGGGCAUAAAGGGCUCGCAGGCGGUUUCUUAAGUCUGAUGUGAAAGCCCCCGGCUCAACCGGGGAGGGUCAUUGGAAACUGGGAAACUUGAGUGCAGAAGAGGAGAGUGGAAUUCCACGUGUAGCGGUGAAAUGCGUAGAGAUGUGGAGGAACACCAGUGGCGAAGGCGACUCUCUGGUCUGUAACUGACGCUGAGGAGCGAAAGCGUGGGGAGCGAACAGGAUUAGAUACCCGCGUAGUCCCUGUCUCUUAUAC